ensembl:lncRNA
GGAAGGAGUUAUGGUUGACGAACCCAGCUGUAUAGAGAAGUUGUGAUGAAACGAUGGGUUAGCUGGAACCACCAGCAGUUCAGUCUUAGUAAGGUUGAGCUGAAGGUGAUGGUCAUUCAUCCAGCUAGAAAUGUCACUCAGACAGACUGAAAUGCGAGCAACUACCGUCGGGUCAUCUGGUUGGAAUGAGAAGUAGAGUUGAGUGUCAUCAGCGUAGCAGUGAUAGGAAAAGCCAUGCUUCUGAAUGACAGAUCCUAAUGACGUCAUGUAGAUGGAGAAGAGAAGCGGUCCAAGUACUGAGCCUUGAGGAACCCCAGUAGCAAGUUGUUGUGACUUAGAAACUUCACCCCUCCAAGACACCAUGAAGGAUCUAUCAGACAGGUAGGAGUUAAGCCACUGGAGUGCGGUUCCAGAGAUGCCCAUCUUUCUGAGGGUGGACAGGAGAAUCUGGUGAUUAACAGUGUCAAAAGCAGCAGACAGGUCCAGCAAAAUGAGUACUGAGGAUUUUGAAGCUGCUCUUGCCAGUCGCAGGGCUUCAGUAACCGAGAGCAGGGCAGUCUCAGUUGAGUGGCCGCUUUUGAAGCCAGAUUGGUUGCUGUCCAGGAGGUUGUUCUGUACAAGAAACAUAGAGAGCUGGUUGAACACAGCUCGUUCAAGUGUCUUUGCAAUGAAUGGAAGAAGGGAUACCGGUCUGUAGUUUUCUAGAAGUGCUGGAUUUAGAGAUGGUUUCUUCAGCAGUGGGCUUACCCGAGCCUGCUUAAAUGCUGAGGGAAAUGUUCCAGACUGAAGAGAGGAGUUGAUAAUGUGAGUAAGUGAAGGUAUGACUGAAGAAGAAAUUGCUUGAAGGAGGUGGGUGGGGAUCGGAUCCAGUGGGCAAGUAGUAGGAUGACUAGACAGGAUAAGUUUGGAAACGUCCGUCUCUGAGAGUGAAGAGAAGGAGGAGAGAGAGUGUGCAUUAGUCGUUGUGAAGUUAUCCUCAGUCUGCGGUGUGGAGAAUUGUAAGAGUCGAUGGAGGAGGAGGUGGAGGCGGU